GUGAGAGGAAAUCUUUUUCAACUUCCUUUGUGACAAGUGUGCCUCAAAUUAAGGGAAACCAAGCCAGUUGUCUCAAAUCAAUCAUCGUUUGCCGUUCAAUAAUAAAGCUUUAGAAGACAUUACAUGACUGGAUCACUUGUGUCCACUGGGUUCUAUUACAAGCAUCAGCGGCCCUUCUUCCACACAAUGCAAUACUUGCACUUAGCCCUCGAGCAGGGAAUAGAACCAUUGAGAGAUUCCCUCCAAAUGAAAAGUAGCAGCGCUCCAUAUGAAGAAGAGGUUACUGGAAUAUUGCCACGAGGAGCAAGAAAUGUCACUGUUGCUAUGUGUAUAAUCCGCUGAAUUCACUCCCAAUAUGAACCAGUACUCCAACAGCUUGUGCACAUUAUGUUCCCAGGUGAGAUGGAGCCUAUACCAACUGUUCCAAAAUUAAUGUAUUUAUAUAAAGCAUUAUGUUGUAUUGUUUUUAUAAGCUGCUAAUUGUGUAUAUAUGGUACUCUGUUGUUACAAUUAGGAUAUACACACAGUAUUUUAAUAAAAACACAAACUUAUGAACAGUCAUAUUACAAUCACUAAUCUAUACACAAUAGAAUAACACUAUUUAGUCAACCUAUAAAAAACAAGUCUACAGUGUGCAUCGAUUUUUCUAUAUUCUUAAAGUGAUGACUUUUUGGGAGCGCCAACUGCUAACUCAUAUUGUGCUGAAAUUUCACCUAAAAACCAAAUGUCGCUAACUUUUUGUGAGUAGUGUAGAGUGGAUAUAAAGUCAACAAACCUGUU